UACAGAGGGUGCGAGCGUUAAUCGGAAUUACUGGGCGUAAAGCGCACGUAGGUGGCGACGUAAGUCGGGUGUGAAAGCCCCGGGCUCAACCUGGGAAUUGCAUUCGAGACUGCGUUGCUGGAGUACGGAAGAGGAGGGCGGAAUUCCCGGUGUAGCGGUGAAAUGCGUAGAUAUCAGGAGGAAUACCAGUGGCGAAGGCGGCUUUCUGGGCCUACCCUGACGCUGAGGAGCGAAAGCGUGGGGAGCAAACAGG
rnacentral:rRNA from 1 species